CACGUAGGGCGCAAGCGUUGUCCGGAAUUAUUGGGCGUAAAGAGCUCGUAGGUGGUUUGUUACGUCUGCUGUGAAAACCUAGGGCUUAACCCUGGGCUUGCAGUGGAUACGGGCAGACUAGAGGCAGGUAGGGGAGAAUGGAAUUCCCGGUGUAGCGGUGAAAUGCGCAGAUAUCGGGAGGAACACCGGUGGCGAAGGCGGUUCUCUGGGCCUGACCUGACGCUGAGGAGCGAAAGCGUGGGGAGCGAACAGG
rnacentral:rRNA from 1 species